rnacentral:lncRNA from 1 species
GCCCCGUGAGUGCUGGCAGGGCUGUGAAGCAGGUGUGACUAAUGGGUCAGCUCCCCGCUGGGACUGUGACCCUGAAGCUAACAAACCUAAGGGCAAGGCCAGGCGCAGCAGCUUUCUGAGUCUCUUCUGAAGUGGCUUGAAGUCGAUACUGUGUGUGUAUGUAAGAUCUAGCCUGAAGGAAGGCGCUUUGUUCAGUUGCUAACUUAUUUUCUUGGUGCUCAGCCAGACAGUCAAAAGGAGAGCAACUUAGCAGAAGAUUUUGGUCUAGCUGAGGAUUCAGAUCACUGAAGAACUUAAGUUUAGGCUGUUAAACAAAAUUAUGGGAGCCCGUUAUUUUGGACUGAACUCCUGUACUAGGCCCCAACAGACGAGACCAAACCAAAAUGGAGUCAUUCAUGCUAAAUGCCUCAUCAUCAAAUAGAAGCUUUAAGGAAGCAGAUAGAUCCAACAUAGACUAGUUUUUCUUGAGAACAGAAGAUUCCAGUCUACCUGUGUCAGUGCAAUAAGGAAGUCCUCUCUGCUUUAAUUUUUACACAAAAAGUAACCUCAUGUUAGCCAAUCCGACUUAAAAAAUUUUU